GUCCCGGAUGCGCGGCUUGCGCAGGUUCUCGGCAGCGAUCCGUGCCAGCACAUACUCCUCAGGGAUGAUACUCUUCCGAGCCAACAUCUUCCUGCCACCAUAGUCCACCUAGCGAGAUGCGAGACGGGGGCUGCUCCCCGCGGUGUGUCUCCGUGGGGCUCACUGCCUCCCAACAGGUCGGGUCCUCGGCUCUCCAGGAGAUACCCAGGUGUGUCCGCAGCACGGACACUCGCUCACUCGCAUCCUUCGGGCCGUGAAGAAUCAGACUGCUCCGCUCUGAACCGAGGCCGGCUCGCGGAGAGCCUUCCCGGCCGCACAGCCCCCGUGCCGUCCCCCCGGCAGCAUCGCAGGGAGCCGAGCCGCGAGCUGGAGGCAGGACCGCGCCGAGCGGGCGUUCCCGCUUUCCCCUCAGCCCUCCUUCUUUUCCGGGAUGAGGCGGGGCGGCCUCGCUUUUAUCCCCAGCCGUGUCCCCAGACGGCUGUCGGAGCUCGGCGGCGGUACGUGAGGCUGCCGGCAGCCCUCCGGAGCGGGCAGGGACUCCGGACGCCCGCCCUGAGGCUCCAGAUUGGGGCCGGGCCGAUAGGACGCGGGUGUCCCGGCUGCCCGGAGCUUCGCUUUCCCAGCUUUAUCGCAGCUCAGGUCUCAGCUCGCAGGCUGUGGGAGCGUAAGCGAUUGGAGGAGCGGGGCCGGAGCCUGACGGCCUCCCCCCGACAAACGCAGUUACCUGUUGCGGCAGGAGGAAAAGAGACGUUCCUUUGUAGGGCGCGCAGCUCGCAUUGACUCGGCCGGGCACUGCGUAGGGCCGCUCUAAUCCUCAGCCGCUAUAAGGGGAGUUGAUGGAUGGGUAUUUAUAUAAGCAAAAUGAGUGCAGCGUCAGAAACGACUCGCGGAGGUUCACUCGUGUUCCCGCAGGUCAAAGUUUAUGGUUUUGGCACUGGUGUUUAAUGGAAACUCGCAUUCUUGGAAAUCACAGCUUUCCUUUUUUCUUUAAUUCUGCUUUUUCGCCCCCGAGGUCUUAAGGCUUGUAGCAGGAGGAAUAAACACAACUUCAGCUUUGAGUAAAGAUCUAAAUUUAGAUCUCAGUAUAGCAAAGUGCAGGGAUAUUGUGUUGGCUUAACUCCUCCACGCCCAAGGAACGCCUGCCUGCGUGCGUGUGUAUAUGUGUGUGUGUGUGUGUGUAUGCAGUGUGAGAAGUUUCCUGUACAUCACUCAAGGGGAUGACCUACACCUAUACAGCAUGUAACACAUUGCUGCUCUCCGUAAACCAGGGGCAGAAAGAAGCGCUCUGCAAGCCUGCUGCCGUCAGGAAGUUUGGAAGUGUAUUGAGAAGGCACGUUUGACAGCUAGUGCAACCCUCAGCUUGAAGGUAUUCACCCUGUCACACUCGUGUGAGCUCCGCUUCAAAUAGCUGAGCAACUCCUGGGUACUUCUCUAGCGCUAUCCUUUCCUAACACCAGCUAUGCAGAAUUAAGAAAGCAGACUCAGAGCCCCACUCUGGUUAGGAAAUAAGCUGCACGUCCAGGUUGGACAUCAGCUUCAGGCAGAUGGCGGAUCACACGUGAAAAGUCAGAUCUAGAACUAUUGCUUAGGGUGGUAACCAGGCUUAUGUGCCAGCACACCCAGCUGGGCGAGGUUCAGCACACAAAGACUUGGGUGGGUGUCUGCAGAUUGGUGCUGGUGGUGGCUGUGGCACAUGGUGAUCCAGGAUGGGCAAGCUGGGACCGUACCUGCUGCACGUGGAGGGGCAGAGGCUGGACAUGAGGGCUGACUCAGUUGUUGGAUGCAGCCUCCAGAAGUGCAUCUUUCUUGGUGUAACUGUUGCAAAUGGCUGUUUCAAUACACCUGCACUGAAAAGGAUGCUGCCUCUGCUCUUCCACCUGCGACCAGCUUCAAGGAAGCCUGCUGGGCAGUGGCCACUCAGAUGUGAAGGCCAGGAAGGCUGUCAGCAAGAACCUUUCCCUCUUCCUAGUUCAAUAAUAUGCAACAUGAUUUUGAGCACAGCACACGCCUCCCCAAGCUACAGUGCACGAAUACGCUCCGGAGAGUGACAGCUACCAAAAAUGUUCCCCUUUGCCCUUUUAAAUACUUGCUUGGUUGCCACAUGCACAUGAAAAUCUGUAAUAGUUCAGUAAUAGCUGGGAAAAUCUUCUGAAACCUCUUCUGGCCCUUCUGGUUAGGAACACAGUGUCUGAGUGCUGUGAACACAGCCUGCUCAGGGGACAAAUGGUCAGAAUUGCUUGCAGGUUUGGGUUCAGAUGUACUAGGGCCCAUUGUGCUUCUCCCUUCCUGCUGUUUCAC
rnacentral:lncRNA from 1 species